GCCAGCAUGGUGUAGUGGUUUGAGUGUUGGACUAUGACUCUGGUGACCAGUGUUCAAAUCCCUGUUCAAGCA